ensembl:ncRNA E01G6.5 ncRNA
UCUUAAUUAUUUAAAGUGCAAUAGAAAUUAACUGAAAGCAACAGUUUCCCAUGCUCAAGUAUUUAUUGCGAGCUUAAUAGAAAAAAUUACGGUACCAAAUUUUUAUACCAAACUUUUCACUCCAACGUCAUCUCACAAAACCAAGCUAAC